UAAUUGAAGAGUUUGAUCAUGGCUCAGAUUGAACGCUGGCGGCAGGCCUAACACAUGCAAGUCGAGCGGUAGCACGGGAGAGCUUGCUCUCUGGGUGACGAGCGGCGGACGGGUGAGUAAUGUCUGGGAAACUGCCUGAUGGAGGGGGAUAACUACUGGAAACGGUAGCUAAUACCGCAUGAU
rnacentral:ncRNA from 1 species